rnacentral:rRNA from 1 species
AGACAGUCAUGAGACGUGAGUAUAAGACCUGAGUGUAAAGACCUUAGGGUGAAGCAAUUGGAGGGCAAGCUUUGGUGCCAGCAGCCGCGGUAACUCCAACUCCAAGAGUGUCUAUGGUGGAUGCUGCAGUUAAAGGGUCCGUAGUCGUGAAUGCAAUUAAAUGUCGUUGUUCAAUAGCGAUGAGUUUGCUAAUGUUUGCGGAACGGAUAGGGAGUGUAGUAUAGACUGGCGAAGAAUGAAAUCUCAAGACCCAGUUUGGACUAACGGAGGCGAAGGCGACACUCUUAGACGUAUCUUAGGAUCAAGGACGAAGGCAGGAGUAUCGAAAGUGAUUAGACACCGCUGUAGUUCCUGCAGUAAACUAUGCCGACAGCCUGUGUGUGAGAAUACGUGGGCGGGAGAAAUCUUAGUGUUCGGGCUCUGGGGAUAGUACGCUCGCAAGGGUGAAACUUAAAGCGAAAUUGACGGAAGGACACUACCAGGAGUGGAUUGUGCUGCUUAAUUUAACUCAACGCGGGAAAACUUACCAGGGUCAAGUCAUUCGUUGAUCGAAUACGUGAGAAUGGCAGGA